GUCCGUUGCUAGCUCUCCCGUCAGCUCCGUUCUCUUUAUACAUCCAUGGUCAACUCCAUCGGGGCCGUUUGACUGUUUUUAACAUAAAUGUCAGUAUAUGGUUGUUCUACAGUUGUAGCGUUGGCCGAUUAGACCACGAAGUUGCAAAUGACGACUGGCUUGACCGCAAGUUACCGCAAUACGAUAACAUUUUCCUGCAAUGUGUGAAACCCAAAAUGUUUCCAUUCUUUACUGUUUGUGUAAUGUUUACCACAUUGGAUUAAAAAUUGUGAGGGUGCAGUUCGUAUCCCCGUGGACUCUCCGCCGUUUUCCACUUUCUCGUCUCGGCUCGCUGCGGCCGGCUAUGUUUUGUUUUGGUUGACGGAUACUGAAUGGACAUUAGGUCACGUUACUCCGACUACAACAAUAAAAGUGGUAACUUCCU